rnacentral:rRNA from 1 species
AGUGAACGCUGGCGGUAGGCCUAACACAUGCAAGUCGAACGGCAGCACAGGAGAGCUUGCUCUCUGGGUGGCGAGUGGCGGACGGGUGAGGAAUACAUCGGAAUCUACUCUGUCGUGGGGGAUAACGUAGGGAAACUUACGCUAAUACCGCAUACGACCUACGGGUGAAAGCAGGGGACCUUCGGGCCUUGCGCGAUUGAAUGAGCCGAUGUCGGAUUAGCUAGUUGGCGGGGUAAAGGCCCACCAAGGCGACGAUCCGGAGCUGGUCUGAGGGGAGGAUCAGCCACACUGGAACUGAGACACGGUCCAGACUCCGACGGGAGGCAGCAGUGGGGAAUAUUGGACAAUGGGCGCAAGCCUGAUCCAGCCAUACCGCGUGGGUGAAGAAGGCCUUCGGGUUGUAAAGCCCUUUUGUUGGGAAAGAAAUCCAGCUGGCUAAUACCCGGUUGGGAUGACGGUACCCAAAGAAUAAGCACCGGCUAACUUCGUGCCAGCCGCCGCAGUAA